UACAGGGGGUGCAAACGUUGCUCGGAAUUAUUGGGCGUAAAGCGCGCGUAGGCGGCCACUUAAGUCGGAUGUGAAAGCCCCUGGCUCAACUGGGGAAGUGCACCCGAAACUGAAUGGCUUGAAUGCAAAAGAGGGUCGCGGAAUUCCCGGUGUAGAGGUGAAAUUCGUAGAUAUCGGGAGGAACACCGGUGGCGAAGGCGGCGACCUGGGUUGACAUUGACGCUGAGGCGCGAAAGCGUGGGGAGCAAACAGG
rnacentral:rRNA from 1 species